rnacentral:lncRNA from 1 species
CAUUAAACAUCUUCCCUCAACAUGGGGCUCUGUACAAGUCGUACGUUACUUCAAAGGCAAACAGAGCCACGGGGGAAAACAGAUCUGUCGCCGGCAAGGGCUCCCGGGACUCAAGCUGUCUUGUCUUUGUGACGUGCCAGCGGCUGGCAAGAGAUAUCACCUGCUUCAAUAAGGCAGAUAGGAACAUACUGGUGUCCCACAAUCCCUUGGACCAAGUAGUCGUGGUUUUGCUCUGAUACUUGGCAGAAGAAUCAUGUCAAUGGUAACCAAGAAGAGGUCCAGAAGGUCCAGGGGCUGAGGCUGGGGCAUUGAGCUUCCGAGGCCAGCCUGGAUUACAUAGCAAGACCCCAAACAAACACUUGUCCUGUGUCUCCAAGAUUGGCCUUGAACUUGAUGUGUAGCAGAAGACAACUUUGAACUGCUUCCCCAGCCAGCCCUUCUGAUGUUGGAGAUUACAGGCCUUAGAGCACAGGCACGCUUAUCCAUUCAGACACUGUGUAUGUGUCCACACUAGCUGCAGCAGUCUCUAUGCCUGUGACUGUCAACGGGCCGGCCCUCCUCAGUUUACUGAUUCCUGCCUUUGAGGCCAUCUGUAAAUAUUGUUAAUAAACACAGGAGCAGAGCGCAUCCUCUAUUCCAG